UACAGAGGGGGCAAGCGUUGUUCGGAAUUACUGGGCGUAAAGGGCGCGUAGGCGGCCAACUAAGUCGAACGUGAAAUCCCCGGGCUCAACCCGGGAACUGCGUCCGAUACUGGUUGGCUUGAAUCCGGGAGAGGGAUGCGGAAUUCCAGGUGUAGCGGUGAAAUGCGUAGAUAUCAGGAAGAACACCCGUGGCGAAGGCGGCUCUCUGGGACGGUACUGACGCUGAGACGCGAAAGCGUGGGGAGCGAACAGG
rnacentral:rRNA from 1 species